rnacentral:sRNA from 1 species
GUCAGGUGUGGUGGCACACACCUGUAAUCCCAGUCACUUGGGAGACAGAGGCAGGAGAAUUGCAAGUUCAAAGCCAGCCUCAA